GGGGUUGUAGCUCAGCGGUAGAGCACUCACCUAGCAUGUGUGAGGCCCUGGGUUCGAUCCUCAGCACCACA
rnacentral:tRNA from 1 species